AUUUGUGAUGAAUUGAUCAACAAUUUAUUAAUAGUAAACAAACAAAAAAUUACAAAUGGAAUGGAUGGAUCUUAUAAAUUAGUGAAACUUGUGAAACUUAGAUUGUGUAGAACGAUACAUGAUCUUUAUGUCGUACCAUCACCCAUCUAGUUUCAUUUAAAACAUUAACGUCUUAACCUUGUCCGUUAAUUUUUAUUUCAAUCUAUUGUUUUUUAUUACAUUUCAAAUUACAGGAACUACCAUCCAACAAGGACCAAUGAAUGUGAUUAGUUAAUAUCUUGAUCACUUUGACCAGUUAUUACCAGCCAAAGACGCGUACCAAAAUCUAUCUACUGGUCAUUCUCAAUCCACGAUUGGUAAUCUUGUAAAUACAAACAUUUGCAGUCAUGGUUUAAUUUGUAUCCUGUCUUCAUUGAGGGUUGCCUCUAAUGAGAGAGACCAACAAUCAUUAAACAAAUUGUUGGCACAUUACAAGUUAACAAAAAAGUCACUUACAACUGUCAUCGUCUAUCAUCAUAACCUGUUCAAGUUCAAUUUUUCACAGAGAAUUCAGUCUUAAUUGAAAUACCAUAUACAUUCAUUUAAAAAUCUUGAUGACAGCAAAACAGAGAGAAAUGAUAAAUGAUUGUUAUUUAACUUGUUGUUACAUAUACAGAGACAGACAACCAGAAAACAUAUACAACUGAAACACCAAAAAGACGUAUAAAGGCGAACAAGAAAGAAAGCUGAUCAACCUGGUUAUCCUUCAUCAAGCCUGCUGUUUUAACCCAACUAUCCAUUGAUAAAUCAAAUUUAAUGAUUUAAGACGGAAUAGAUGAAAGGUGAACAAUCAAUCAAAUGAUAUCACAAGGAGAUGAAUGAAAAAAAGGCUGUAUUUAAGGUUAAAGCAAAGGGAUGCAUCUAAGUGAUUGUAGACAUUUAGUGAACAUUUUUCAGUAGUCAAGUGUAAAUCAUUAUACAUUGUAAUGUUAAAACAAUUGAACCCAACAA